UACGAAGGGUGCAAGCGUUACUCGGAGUUACUGGGCGUAAAGGGUGCGUAGGCGGUCUGUUAAGUUGGAUGUGAAAACUCUGGGCUCAACCCAGAGCCUGCAUCCAAAACUGGCAGGCUAGAGUUCUGGAGGGGGUAGCGGAAUUCCUGGUGUAGCGGUGAAAUGCGUAAAUAUCAGGAGGAACACCGGUGGCGAAGGCGGUUCUCUGGGCCUUACCUGACGCUGAGGAGCGAAAGCGUGGGGAGCAAACAGG
rnacentral:rRNA from 1 species